AGUGGGUGCGAGCAUCUUUGUGGCCAAGUUGUGUAGGGCACAUGGUGGAUGCCUUGGUACCAGGGGCCGAUGAAGGACGUGGGAGGCCGCGAUAGUCCUCGGGGAGUUGUCAACCGAGCUGUGAUCCGAGGGUGUCCGAAUGGGGUAACCCAGCCCGAGUGAUGUCGGGUUACUCAUGCCUGAAUGUAUAGGGUAUGAGGGGGAACGCGGGGAAGUGAAACAUCUUAGUACCCGUAGGAAGAGAAAACACUGGUGAUUCCGUGAGUAGUGGCGAGCGAAAGCGGAGGAGGCUAAACCGUGCGCGUGGGAUACCUGGUAGGGGUUGCGUGUGCGGGGUUGUGGGGCACUACUGGGCGGGUCUACCAGUCCGCCAGCAUGUCCAUGUCUGCUAGUUGAACGGUUUGGGAAAGCCGGCCGUAGACGGUGAGAGCCCGGUAAGCGAAAGCAGUUGUGGUGUGUGUGGUGGUGUUCCCGAGUAGCAGCGUUUCCGUGGAGGGUGCUGUGAAUCUGGCGGGACCACUCGCUAAGCCUAAAUACUUCCUGGUGACCGAUAGUGGAUAGUACCGUGAGGGAAUGGUGAAAAGUACCCCGGGAGGGGAGUGAAAGAGUUCCUGAAACCGUGUGCCUGCAAUCCGUCAGAGCAACCGUUGUAGUUGUGAUGGCGUGCCUUUUGAAGAAUGAGCCUGCGAGUUACUGCUGCGUGGCGAGGUUAACCUGUGUGGGGUAGCCGGAGCGAAAGCGAGUCUGAAGAGGGCGUGUGAGUCGCGUGGUGUAGACCCGAAGCGGGGUGAUCUACCCAUGGCCAGGGUGAAGCGCGGGUAAGACCGUGUGGAGGCCCGAAC
rnacentral:rRNA from 1 species